UGUGGCCUUUGUGUGCUGCACAAUUUCCCUCUGAAUCAGGAAGUCUGGGGCAAAACUAUCACCGGCUCGAAGACAGGUUACUUGCCUGUCAUUCUGUGCCACCGCGAGAGGUUGGCAGAGAAGAGUUUCAGCACUGAGGGAUUGGCCGAAGCAAAGGGUACGAGGUCAGAAUUUACAAUUCUAUGUGUCUGAGCAACGGAAGGAAGACCUGGCGUGGCUGAGGAAAUUCAUGCGAGUAAAGUAUGGAAGGACAAGAAGCUAGAGAGGAGCCAGCAUCCGGAUCUUUCAGGAAAAUUCUGUUUGUAGCUGGAUUGAAU